rnacentral:rRNA from 1 species
GUGGGGAAUAUUGGACAAUGGGCGAAAGCCUGAUCCAGCCAUGCCGCGUGUGUGAAGAAGGUCUUCGGAUUGUAAAGCACUUUAAGUUGGGAGGAAGGGCAGUAAGCUAAUACCUUGCUGUUUUGACGUUACCGACAGAAUAAGCACCGGCUAACUUCGUGCCAGCAGCCGCGGUAAUACGAAGGGUGCAAGCGUUAAUCGGAAUUACUGGGCGUAAAGCGCGCGUAGGUGGUUUUGUAAGUUGGAGGUGAAAUCCCCGGGCUCAACCUGGGAACUGCCUCCAAAACUGCAUGACUAGAGUACGGUAGAGGAUAGUGGAAUUUCCUGUGUAGCGGUGCAAUGCGUAGAUAUAGGAAGGAACACCAGUGGCGAAGGCGACUACCUGGACUGAUACUGACACUGAGGUGCGAAAGCGUGGGGAGCAAACAGGAUUAGAAACCCGGGUAGUCC